rnacentral:rRNA from 1 species
AUACGUAGGGGACAAGCGUUAUCCGGAUUUACUGGGCGUAAAGGGCGUGUAGGCGGUCUUGCAAGUCAGAAGUGAAAUUCCUGAGCUCAACUCGGGCGCUGCUUCUGAAACUGCAGGACUUGAGUGCUGGAGGGGAUAGCGGAAUUCCUAGUGGAGCGGUAAAAUGCGCAGAAAUUAGGAAGAACACCGGGGGCGAAGGCGGCGUUCUGGGCAGUAACUGGCGCUGAGGAGCGAAAGCGUGGGGAGCAAAAAGGAUUAGAUACCCCUGUGGUCCACGCCGUAAACGAUGAAUACUAGGUGUAGGGGGUAUCGACUCCCUCUGUGCCGCAGUUAACACAAGAAGUAUUCCGCCUGGGGAGUACGGCCGCAAGGUUGAAACUCAAAUGUAUUGUGGGGG